rnacentral:rRNA from 1 species
GACGAACGCUGGCGGCGUGCUUAACACAUGCAAGUCGAACGAUGAACCGGUUUCGGCCGGGGAUUAGUGGCGAACGGGUGAGUAACACGUGGGCAAUCUGCCCUGCACUCUGGGAUAAGCCCGGGAAACUGGGUCUAAUACCGGAUACGACACUCCGAGGCAUCUUGGGGUGUGGAAAGUUCCGGCGGUGCAGGAUGGGCCCGCGGCCUAUCAGCUUGUUGGUGGGGUAAUGGCCUACCAAGGCGACGACGGGUAGCCGGCCUGAGAGGGUGACCGGCCACACUGGGACUGAGACACGGCCCAGACUCCUACGGGAGGCAGCAGUGGGGAAUAUUGCACAAUGGGCGAAAGCCUGAUGCAGCGACGCCGCGUGAGGGAUGACGGCCUUCGGGUUGUAAACCUCUUUCAGCAGGGAAGAAGCGAAAGUGACGGUACCUGCAGAAGAAGCACCGGCUAACUACGUG